GCGUGAGAAUCUGCCCUCAGGAGGGGGAUAACGGCUGGAAACGGCCGCUAAUACCCCAUAUGCCGCGAGGUGAAAUGAAUUUCGCCUGAGGAUGAGCUCGCGUCUGAUUAGCUAGUUGGUGGGGUAAAGGCCUACCAAGGCGACGAUCAGUAGCUGGUCUGAGAGGAUGAUCAGCCACACUGGGACUGAGACACGGCCCAGACUCCUACGGGAGGCAGCAGUGGGGAAUUUUCCGCAAUGGGCGAAAGCCUGACGGAGCAACGCCGCGUGAGGGAUGAAGGCCUCUGGGCUGUAAACCUCUUUUCUCAAGGAAGAAGACCUGAGGGUACUUGAGGAAUAAGCCACGGCUAAUUCCGUGCCAGCAGCCGCGGUAAUACGGGAGUGGCAAGCGUUAUCCGGAAUUAUUGGGCGUAAAGCGUCCGCAGGCGGCCUUGUAAGUCUGUCGUUAAAGCGUGGAGCUUAACUCCAUUUAAGCGAUGGAAACUACAAGGCUUGAGUGUGGUAGGG
rnacentral:rRNA from 1 species